GGCGGCAUGCUUUACACAUGCAAGUCGGACGGCAGCACAGAGAAGCUUGCUUCUUGGGUGGCGAGUGGCGAACGGGUGAGUAAUAUAUUGGAACGUACCGAGUAAUGGGGGAUAACUUGCCGAAAGGUAAGCUAAUACCGCAUACGCUCUGAGGAGGAAAGCAGGGGACCUUCGGGCCUUGCGUUAUUCGAGCGGCCAAUAUCUGAUUAGCUAGUUGGUGGGGUAAAGGCCUACCAAGGCGACGAUCAGUAGCGGGUCUGAGAGGAUGAUCCGCCACACUGGGACUGAGACACGGCCCAGACUCCUACGGGAGGCAGCAGUGGGGAAUUUUGGACAAUGGGCGCAAGCCUGAUCCAGCCAUGCCGCGUGUCUGAAGAAGGCCUUCGGGUUGUAAAGGACUUUUGUCAGGGAAGAAAAGGUUGUGGCUAAUAUCCAUGACUGAUGACGGUACCUGAAGAAUAAGCACCGGCUAACUACGUGCCAGCAGCCGCGGUAAUACGUAGGGUGCGAGCGUUAAUCGGAAUUACUGGGCGUAAAGCGAGCGCAGACGGUUACUUAAGCAGGAUGUGAAAUCCCCGGGCUCAACCUGGGAACUGCGUUCUGAACUGGGUGACUAGAGUAUGUCAGAGGGGGGUAGAAUUCCACGUGUAGCAGUGAAAUGCGUAGAGAUGUGGAGGAAUACCGAUGGCGAAGGCAGCCCCCUGGGAUAAUACUGACGUUCAUGCUCGAAAGCGUGGGUAGCAAACAGGAUUAGAUACCCUGGUAGUCCACGCCCUAAACGAUGUCAAUUAGCUGUUGGGCAACUUGAUUGCUUAGUAGCGUAGCUAACGCGUGAAAUUGACCGCCUGGGGAGUACGGUCGCAAGAUAAAACUC
rnacentral:rRNA from 1 species